rnacentral:rRNA from 1 species
UACGAAGGGGCUAGCGUUGUUCGGAAUUACUGGGCGUAAAGCGCACGUAGGCGGAUUUGUAAGUCAGGGUGAAAUCCCGGGCUCAACCUCGGAACUGCCUUUGAUACUGCAAAUCUCGAGUCCGGAAGAGGUGAGUGGAAUUCCUAGUGUAGAGGUGAAAUUCGUAGAUAUUAGGAAGAACACCAGUGGCGAAGGCGGCUCACUGGUCCGGUACUGACGCUGAGGUGCGAAAGCAUGGGAGCGAACAGG